rnacentral:lncRNA from 11 species
UGCAAGGUCCUCUGGGUAAUGUAGUUGUUUCAGUUCAGGAGAGCUCUGCGCUUGCAUGGCUAAGAAAGCUAAACCUGGCAUUGGCUCAAAGCAAGGGCAUCAGUUUCUGCUUUUUAAAAGAAAAAAAUAUACAUGACCUCAGUUCCAGCAAAUAUCUGACUUUCUGAUCUCACUUUUCCAUAUGGGACUCAAAGUGGCUUGCAAUAUAAAUUGAAACAGAACAUUGAAAACAACAUGGAGUACAAAUGUUUAAUAAAUAUUAAACCAUACUUUCAGUUAAAACACUACUUUAAAAACAUUAAAAAUUAAAACAAUUAAAAUGCA